GUGUGCUAGGUGGGGAGAUAGCGGUGCCCUGUAACCCGCAACCCGCUCCAGCGGGGCUGAAUCCCUGCAGGAGAAUAUCGAUUUCCCCUGAAAAAUUGAUAAGCGGUGUUGAGAAAUAAGCCCUGCGCAAUUUUCGUCUGUGAACCUUGUCAGGUCCGGAAGGAAGCAGCAAUAAGCAGAAUUGAAGAUGUGCCGCAGGUCAACUUGUUUUGAGCUGGCUGUCCGUUUUUUUUCGGAAUAGUUAUCGAAUGCAGGUGCACAC
rnacentral:SRP_RNA from 1 species